UAGCGUAGGGGGCAAGCGUUGUCCGGAAUCAUUGGGCGUAAAGCGCGUGUAGGCGGCCUUGUAAGUCCGUUCUGAAAGCCCGGGGCUCAACCCCGGGAGGCGGAUGGAUACUGCAAGGCUCGAGUACGGAAGAGGCGAGUGGAAUUCCCGGUGUAGCGGUGAAAUGCGCAGAUAUCAGGAGGAACACCGGUGGCGAAGGCGGGUCUCUGGGCAACAACUGACGCUGAGGAGCGAAAGCGUGGGGAGCGAACAGG
rnacentral:rRNA from 1 species